CCUCUUCUCACCAGGGCCCGGCUCCUGCCCAGCCUGGGCACCGCCCAGGGUGAUGGCGUUGGUCCGGGUGCUGUUCUGCCUCUGCUUGGACACUUUUGCGAAGAUCUCUGAGGGGGCGGAGGACAGUGAUCGGAAGAGCACACGUUUG